rnacentral:rRNA from 1 species
UACAGAGGGUGCAAGCGUUAAUCGGAAUUACUGGGCGUAAAGCGUGCGUAGACGGUUACAUAAGUCGGUUGUGAAAGCCCCGGGCUCAACCUGGGAAUUGCAUUCGAGACUGCGUAGCUAGGGUGCGGAAGAGGGAAGCGGAAUUUCCGGUGUAGCGGUGAAAUGCGUAGAUAUCGGAAGGAACAUCAGUGGCGAAAGCGGCUUCCUGGACCAAUACUGACGCUCAUGUGCGAAAGCGUGGGGAGCAAACAGG